ensembl:snRNA U6 U6 spliceosomal RNA
GUGCCUGCUUCAGCAGCACAUACAUUAAAACUAGAAUGAUACAGAGAAGAUGAUCAUGAUCCCUGUCCAGAGACCAAAUGCAUGUUCUCGAAGUGUUCUGUAUUUUG